rfam:Loxodonta africana unplaced genomic scaffold scaffold_45, whole genome shotgun sequence.
CCCUGGGUGGUACAAAUGGUUAAAGCACUCAGCUGCUAACUGAGAGGUUGGAGGUUCAAGUCCACCCAGAGGCA